UUUGGAGGAUCAAAAUCUUAAAAGAAUGGCUCUUUUUCUUACUUGUUUUCCUUUUCCUCUUUGGAUGGAUUUUUUUUUCUUUUUUGCAACUUCAAGGUGACUGGUUGAAUAAAAAGGAACUAGGAUCUUCUCGCACGUGUAAAGAUGAGCUUCCCUCCUGAAAUGCCCUACUAAAGAUGUCGUGAAAUGGUGAGGAAAGCAGGAAAUUGGUGGUUUCCAGCGUCACUAAUGUCCUGCUAAUGUCAAAUCUGAAAAUUGCCAGACACAAGCCUACGUCUACUUUGCCUGCAAGAGCUCCUUAAAGAAUUUGUCAUAUCAAGAAUCACCUGUAAAAUGAAAAAGCAACUCAAAAGUACCCAAGAGGCCUGUCCACUUACUGGUGACAACUGUGCCAUUCCCAGGAAUAUCUCGGUCGGCUUGGUCAGCAUGCCCAGGAGAACACGUUCCACUUCCCAACUCCUCUCUGCACGGAACAAGAGUGGUCAGAACCAGGCACUUGGGCAGCACCCCCGGAACCAAGACGGAGGAGCUGGGCCGAGGAGAUACAGCUGGUACCUGGCCAAGCAGUUUUCCUCCGCAGCGCAUCUCAGGUUGUACAUGGCCGUCUUCUGCACGUACGUGGACGCCUGGAUGUAGUAGGGGUCGGGCACCAGGUCCGGAAGACCUAAACGUCAGCCAGGCGAUAGGCAAACCAGUGAGACAACUCCGCGGCCCUCACCCUGGCUCCGGGUCCCUCCAUGUCCCUUACUCCUCACCCUUCACCCAGCCGGACUGCGGUUGUAGGGCUGCGGCUAGCAGAAGAAUGGGGACGCCGAGGGCUGCAAAGCAAUGUGGAAAGAAAGCAGGAGGGGCCAGGCGCGCGGUUUGCAGCAGAUUCCAGGGCUGCCUCUGCAGGAGCAGGGGGAGGGAUGGGAUCUGCAUGGACUGAGGCCUGCCGCGCCCAGGCAGCCACGUCGGGGAGCCACAGAGUUGGGGAAAGGGUGCGCGGGUGUUUCCGGCGACUUGGGGGGGCUUACCAUACUGGAAGUAGCCGGUGCCAUAUCCGGGCCGGUACCUGCUCCCAGGCCUGGGCCUUUCGUAUGUGUCGUAGUAGUUGUAAUAGGGGUUGUCGUCGGUGUACUUGUAGGGGUUGUACGGGUCGUCGCCCACCAUGCCGUCCACGUCCACGCGGUUGGGCGGCCGCAGGUUACUGAGCGCUGGGAGCUCUCCUGGCGCCGUCUGGUUACCGGUGCGCGGGGCCCCAGACAUUGAGUAGCCAGCUUGGAACCAGUGGCGGGCGGCGGGCCUGGGGCGGCCAGCUGCGGCUCCAGACGAGCCGGCCGUCCGCGCCCGCGCCGCCACCGUGCGGUUGUUGCGGAGCAGCAAGAUUGGCGUGCGCAGCUGCGGGGCGGUGGCGUUGGCGGCGCCCGGGGCGGUGGCGCCCGGGUCUCGCCGGCGCUGUGGCUGGUACUGCGAGCCCAGGCUCAGCAAGCUGAACACCUGCCCGUUGUUCUCCCAUUGGAUCUUCUGGCGCCAGGCGCCCGGAGCCGCCGGCUGCUCGCGAGGCGGCUGCUGGUGGCCGGCGGCCGGCGGGGCGCAGCGCACGAGUGCGCAGAGCUGCAGCGGCCCGAGCAGGAGUGCGGUC